rnacentral:lncRNA from 10 species
ACUGGAACUCGUGGGGAUCAAGGAAUCUAUAGAUCCUCAGGAAUGAUCACCCUCAUACAGGAGAUGGUCAUGUCUCUGCACACACUCCUUAAGGGCAUCUACAGGGAGCAGUAAAGAGCUAGAGUCCUCAGCACCAGCACUUCAAGGAUACUGAAACCUGACCUGCUUCUGGACAUAGCUUUGACUUUGAGAUGAUUCUCUAGAAACAAUACUCCAGUGGGAUAAAUGAAAGAUUAAAGCUAAAAGUCUGACUGGUAGAUGCAGCUCCAGGUCUUGUUUAUGAGACAGGCUUAUGUUCAAAUCAUACUUGCUGUGUGACCAAGACAGUAGCCCAGAUCUGGUUCCCAGACAAAACACAUCAUUGCUUAGCCUUGGAGACAGUUUCAUCAUGAUCUUCAAACGGUUUUGUUUCCAUAGUAGAAUCCAAAGAGAUGCUACUUUCAAAUAACGCUGUCAUGAUUGUUCUCUAAAUCAGUAGCUUCAAUUUUUAAAAAUGAUUCUACUAUUCUAAAAUAGAAUUUUAUUCAUUUCCUGUAUUGCUGUAAUAUAUUAUCACAAACUUGGUGACUUAAAACAACACAAUUUAUCAUCCUUCAGUUGUGGAGGUCAGAAACCCUGAAACCAAGUGGUUGAUAGGACCUCAUUCUCUCUGCAGUCUGUAGGAGAAUGCAUUUCCUUGACGUUUCCAGCUUCUAGAGGUCAUCUGCAUUUAUUGCCUUGUGGUUCCAUCCUCCAUCUUCAAAGCCAGUAGGGUAGUAUCUUCAGAUGUCUCUUUCUCUGACUUUUCUUCUUCUUGGACUCCGUAACUAUCCUGCUUCCUCCCUCCUUCUUUCCCUUAUAAAGGUCUUUGUGGUUACACUGAACAUACAUGGUAGUCCAGGAUAACAUACUCAUAUCAAGAUUCUUAACUAUCACAUUUGCAAUGUCCAUUUUGAUACGUCAGGUAACACAUUCACAGAUUUUGACUAUUUGGAUUUAGACAUCAUUGGGAGGCUAUUCUGUCUACUGUAAGGACCAAGACCAUAGAGAUCCAAAAAUCUCCACUGUUUUCCAACUUUCACCAAAAUAAAGAUCUGAAAAGGAAUUAUUUUUGCAGAAAACUUGUUGCUAGCAAUGCACAUAAAUAGCUUAUUAUUUGCUUGAUAAGAAAAUAGUUCAAGUUGUUUAUAUAAUUUCUGUAUUUUAAAAAUAC